GACGAACGCUGGCGGCGUGCUUAACACAUGCAAGUCGAACGGAAAGGCCCUGCUCUUGUUGGUUUCUCGAUUGGCGAACGGGUGAGUAACACGUGAGUAACCUGCCCUUGACUUUGGGAUAACUUCAGGAAACUGGGGCUAAUACCGGAUAUGAUCUCCUGCUGCAUGGUGGGGGUUGGAAAGUUUCGGCGGUUGUGGAUGGACUCGCUGCUUAUCAGCUUGUUUGUGUGGUAGUGGCUUUCCAAGGCUUUGACGGCUAGCCGGCCUGAGAGGGUUACCGGGCACAAUGGGACUGAGAUACGGACCAGACUGCUACGGGAGGCAGCAGUGGGGAAUAUUGCACAACGGGCGGAAGCCUGAUGCAGCAACGCCGCGUGCGGGAUGCCGGCUUUCGGGUUGUAAACAGAUUUCGAAUGUGACGAAGCGUGAGUGACGGUAAUGGGUAAAGAAGCACCGGCUAACUACGUG
rnacentral:rRNA from 1 species